rnacentral:lncRNA from 1 species
CUGUAUCUUGGAUAAGUUCAAAAAGGGAAAAUAGGUUACCAUCAAUCUGUAUAUCUUUUCGCAUCAUCUUGUAACCUCAUGUCAUCAUUGGCUCCGAGUUUGAGGCAUAAAUAUUUAAAAACUAAGAAAGUAAAUAAUUAGACGAGCAACAUGACAAAUACUGGAGGCUCAAAUUCAUUUCGGUCUACUGAGAAGUGACAAGCAGACCUUAAAUCCAAAAAUUCAAUCAUGAGAUCAUAUGUAGUUGGGAGAGUUGUGUAUAAAUGAUUAUUUCCAUUCAGUCACGUUCCAAGUUUCACAUGCAAUGCUUUUACUAGAAUCUCAUUUGUCAGAAUGAAAUAUUGACAUUAAUGAUGAUGAUAAGAUAUAGAUAAUCCGACAUGUUCAAAAGAAUUGGCAAAAGAAAACUAUUCAGAGCAACAAAACGAUGGCUAGAAACUACAUCAGAGUUGUACAAAAAGUAUGGCAAGUUAUCAAAUCUCAUCCAAUGUGACGUGGAAAAAUGAAAUACGUUUGAUAUAUACCACAAUCACAGGACCACUCAGUACCACCGAUAAAACCUCAUAUUAUCCUUACUUGAUCUUUGAUUGUGUAGGGGGAUUAAGCAACUUAUUUAUCAAAAGUAAUAGGAAUACUCCGUCCAUAUCAAAAGUAAUAUAAAACCUCGUAUUAUCCAACAUGUUCAAAAGAAUUGACAAUUCAGAGCAACAAAACGACAACUAGAAACUGCAUCAGAAAAAGUAUGGCAGCAUUAGUCUAGGAUGCAGUCCUUAGCAGGCAAAUCUCAAUCCGCAGAGCAAAGAGAAAGAUUAGCAAAAUAUAAAUGCAGUGAUUAGAGGCUAAUACUGAGGCUGACACCAAGUGAUUACCUUUGCCCUAUCCAGAUGGCGGUUUUCGGGAAUGCCGUUGAAGCGUGCUAUGUAUGUGACAACCCUGUGGUGCCAAAACCAAAAAGUUGAGUUGGUAUCACUUAUAUAUUUUCAAACAAAACAAACAAAACACUUUAUUACCUACCUAUCUUGUGAGCAAAUCCAGUCCUGUUUAAAUUCUCAGCGAGUCUGAUAGCAGUUGGGAUUGAUGCAAAAUUACACAUAACAUAAUUAAUGCACAAGAUCAAUUCAGUAACUUAUAAUAAAAUUCCGUUGAUGAAUAUUAUAUUACCCAUCUCUAAAGCACAUAGUUGAAUCUGGGUGUGAUUAUUUAAGUGUCUCUGCAUCAGCACAAGAUAAAAAGAAUUAAUAUGCUACAAAAAAGCCAUAUAAGAAACAUAAUUAAUGCACAAGAUACUUUCGCCUUAUAUAGGCUCUGUGUGAAGUUUUUAUCCUUGCAAACGUUGUACACAGGAAUAAAAACUCGGAUAUUCCUGUGUGAAGUUUUUAUCCUUGCAAACGUUGUACACAGGAAUAAAAACUCGGAUAUUCCUUUGAUACACUGGAACAUGAAAAAGGGGACAGGGGCAGGCACAGGACGAGCAUAUUUGCAAACGUUGUACACAGGAAUAAAAACUCGGAUAUUCCUUUGAUACACAGGAACAU